rnacentral:rRNA from 1 species
GGAUGUGACCAUACUGACACUAACGCACCGAAUCCUAUUAUAACUCCAAAGUUAAGCGUGUUUGGGCGAGAAUAGUACUAGGAUGGGUGACCCCCUGGGAAGUCCUCGUGUUGCAUCCC